AAUCCAUAGGUUAAUGAGGCGAACCGGGGGAACUGAAACAUCUAAGUACCCCGAGGAAAAGAAAUCAACCGAGAUUCCCCCAGUAGCGGCGAGCGAACGGGGAGGAGCCCAGAGCCUGAAUCAGCAUGUGUGUUAGUGGAAGCGUCUGGAAAGGCGCGCGAUACAGGGUGACAGCCCCGUACACAAAAGCGCAUGUGCUGUGAGCUCGA
rnacentral:rRNA from 1 species